UACGUAGGGUGCGAGCGUUAAUCGGAAUUACUGGGCGUAAAGCGUGCGCAGGCGGUUAUUUAAGUCAGGUGUGAAAGCCCUGGGCUUAACCUAGGAAUUGCGCUUGAGACUGGAUAGCUUGGAGUGCGGCAGAGGGAGGUGGAAUUCCACGUGUAGCAGUGAAAUGCGUAGAGAUGUGGAGGAACACCGAUGGCGAAGGCAGCCUCCUGGGCCAGCACUGACGCUCAUGCACGAAAGUGUGGGGAGCAAACAGG
rnacentral:rRNA from 1 species